CCUACGGGAGGCAGCAGUGGGGAAUAUUGCACAAUGGGGGGAACCCUGAUGCAGCAACGCCGCGUGAGUGAAGAAGUAUUUCGGUAUGUAAAGCCCUGUCAGCAGGGAAGAAGAAGACGGUACCUGACCAAGAAGCCCCGGCUAACUACGUGCCAGCAGCCGCGGUAAUACGUAGGGGGCAAGCGUUAUCCGGAUUUACUGGGUGUAAAGGGAGCGUAGACGGCACUGCAAGUCUGGAGUGAAAGGCCGAGGCCCAACCCCGGGACUGCUCUGGAAACUGCGGGGCUGGAGUGCAGGAGGGGUAAGGGGAAUGCCUAGUGUAGCGGUGAAAUGCGUAGAUAUGAGGAGGAACACCAGUGGCGAAGGCGGCUUACUGGACUGUAACUGACGUUGAGGCUCGAAGGCGUGGGGAGCAAACAGGAUUAGAUACCCCUGUAGUC
rnacentral:rRNA from 1 species